rnacentral:pre_miRNA from 1 species
UAUGUAAUUGUUAGAUCAUGUGGUUGUUUUAUGUUUAAUUUUUUGAGGAACAUUCAUGGUAUUUUCCACAAUGGCUGUACUUAUUUACACUUCCACCAACAAU